rnacentral:sRNA from 14 species
UGACCACUUUCCGCUUUGAUUUAAGGAAAGUUAAGGCAACGGUGUGCCGGGUCAAAUGCCGA